rnacentral:rRNA from 1 species
AUUGAACGCUGGCGGCAGGCUUAACACAUGCAAGUCGAGCGAGCGGCGGACGGGUGAGUAAUGUCUGGGAAACUGCCUGAUGGAGGGGGAUAACUGCUGGAAACGGUGGCUAAUACCGCAUACUAUCGGAUGAACCCAUAUGGGAUUAGCUAGUAGGUGGGGUAAAGGCUCACCUAGGCGACGAUCACUAGCUGGUCUGAGAGGAUGACCGGCCACACGGGGACUGAGCCACGGCCCAGACUCCUACGGGAGGCAGCAGUGGGGAAUAUUGCGCAAUGGGGGCAACUCUGACGCAGCCAUGCCGCGUGUAUGAAGAAGGCCUUCGGGUUGUAAAGUUCUUUCAGUCGGGAGGCGUUACCGAAAGAAGAAGCACCGGCUAACUCCGUGCCAGCAGCCGCGGUAAUAC